CCCGUGUUCAGGUCCCUGUUCGGGCGCCACUUGUCGGAGCCAGCCGACGAAGUAAUUCAGGGUACCUGAAAGGG
ensembl:miRNA